ACGAGUGUAGUUAAGUGGUUAUAUCGUCUUCCUUCCAAGAAGAAAUCGUCAGUUCGAAUCUGAUCACUCGUA
rnacentral:tRNA from 1 species